rnacentral:rRNA from 1 species
UCACACAGCUCCUUUAAAAAAGAAAACAAUCUCCUCUAGCGGAUAACUAUCUACCUCUCCAUAAACCGUGGGCCUUCAAGCAGCCAUCAAUAAAGAGUGCGUCACAGCUCUAUAAACAAAAAUCUAACAAUAAAAUUGACUCCCUUCUCACUAACAGGCUAACCUAUACUAAUAGGAGAAUCAAUGCUAAAAUGAGUAACUAGGGACUACCCUCUCAAGCGCAAACUUACAUCUCCACAUUAUUAACAGACUACAAACCAAUAUCCCAACUCAACAAGAUUAAAAUAUUGAGCCUUAUUCUGUUAACCCAACUCAGGUGCGCCUACUAGAAAGAUUAAAAUCUGUAAAAGGAACUAGGCAAACUCAAGGCCCGACUGUUUACCAAAAACAUAGCCUUCAGCCAACCAAGUAUUGAAGGUGAUGCCUGCCCAGUGACACAAUGUUUAACGGCCGCGGUAUCCUAACCGUGCGAAGGUAGCGCAAUCAAUUGUCUCAUAAAUCGAGACUUGUAUGAACGGCUAAACGAGGUCUUAACUGUCUCUUACAGAUAAUCAGUGAAAUUGAUCUUCCUGUCCAAAAGCAGGGAUACACCCAUAAGACGAGAAGACCCUGUGGAACUUAAAAAUCAACAGCCACUAUUUACAAACCCAAACCUAACAGGCCUACUGCCCUACAAUGUUGGUUGAUAUUUUUCGGUUGGGGCGACCUUGGAGAAAAACAAAUCCUCCAAAAAUAAGAUCACACUUCUUAACCUAGAGCAACCUCUCAACGUACUCACAGUAACCAGACCCAAUAUAAUUGAUAAAUGGACCAAGCUACCCCAGGGAUAACAGCGCAAUCUCCUCUAAGAGCCCGCAUCGACGAGGAGGUUUACGACCUCGAUG